rnacentral:tRNA from 1 species
GGAGAGGUGGCAGAGUGGUCGAAUGCGCUGCACUCGAAAUGCAGUAUGCGGGCAACCGUAUCGAGGGUUCGAAUCCCUCCCUCUCCGCCA